rnacentral:hammerhead_ribozyme from 1 species
AUCCAGCCGACGAGUCCCAGAUAGGCGAAACGCGCGUCCUGGAU